UACAGAGGUCCCAAGCGUUGUUCGGAUUCACUGGGCGUAAAGGGUGCGUAGGCGGUCGGGUAAGUCUGAUGUGAAAUCCCACAGCUUAACUGUGAAACUGCAUUGGAUACUAUUCGGCUUGAGAGUUGGAGGGGGGACUGGAAUUCUUGGUGUAGCAGUGAAAUGCGUAGAUAUCAAGAGGAACACCAGUGGCGAAGGCGAGUCCCUGGACAACUUCUGACGCUGAGGCACGAAAGCUAGGGGAGCAAACAGG
rnacentral:rRNA from 1 species